UGCAAGUCGAGCGAACAGAUAAGGAGCUUGCUCCUUUGACGUUAGCGGCGGACGGGUGAGUAACACGUGGGUAACCUACCUAUAAGACUGGAAUAACUCCGGGAAACCGGGGCUAAUGCCGGAUAACAUGUUGAACCGCAUGGUUCUACAGUGAAAGACGGUCUUGCUGUCACUUAUAGAUGGACCCGCGCCGUAUUAGCUAGUUGGUGGGGUAACGGCCUACCAAGGCGACGAUACGUAGCCGACCUGAGAGGGUGAUCGGCCACACUGGAACUGAGACACGGUCCAGACUCCUACGGGAGGCAGCAGUAGGGAAUCUUCCGCAAUGGGCGAAAGCCUGACGGAGCAACGCCGCGUGAGUGAUGAAGGUCUUCGGAUCGUAAAGCUCUGUUGUUAGGGAAGAACAAAUGUGUAAGUAACUGUGCACAUCUUGACGGUACCUAACCAGAAAGCCACGGCUAACUACGUGCCAGCAGCCGCGGUAAUACGUAGGUGGCAAGCGUUAUCCGGAAUUAUUGGGCGUAAAGCGCGCGUAGGCGGUUUUUUAAGUCUGAUGUGAAAGCCCACGGCUCAACCGUGGAGGGUCAUUGGAAACUGGAAAACUUGAGUGCAGAAGAGGAAAGUGGAAUUCCAUGUGUAGCGGUGAAAUGCGCAGAGAUAUGGAGGAACACCAGUGGCGAAGGCGGCUUUCUGGUCUGCAACUGACGCUGAUGUGCGAAAGCGUGGGGAUCAAACAGGAUUAGAUACCCUGGUAGUCCACGCCGUAAACGAUGAGUGCUAAGUGUUAGGGGGUUUCCGCCCCUUAGUGCUGCAGCUAACGCAUUAAGCACUCCGCCUGGGGAGUACGGUCGCAAGACUGAAACUCAAAGGAAUUGACGGGGACCCGCACAAGCGGUGGAGCAUGUGGUUUAAUUCGAAGCAACGCGAAGAACCUUACCAAAUCUUGACAUCCUUUGACCGCUCUAGAGAUAGAGUUUUCCUCUUCGGAGGACAAAGUGACAGGUGGUGCAUGGUUGUCGUCAGCUCGUGUCGUGAGAUGUUGGGUUAAGUCCCGCAACGAGCGCAACCCUUGAACUUAGUUGCCAUCAUUCAGUUGGGCACUCUAAGUUGACUGCCGGUGACAAACCGGAGGAAGGUGGGGAUGACGUCAAAUCAUCAUGCCCCUUAUGAUUUGGGCUACACACGUGCUACAAUGGACAAUACAAAGGGCAGCAAAACCGCGAGGUCAAGCAAAUCCCAUAAAGUUGUUCUCAGUUCGGAUUGUAGUCUGCAACUCGACUACA
rnacentral:rRNA from 1 species